UGGGGAGUGGUGUAAUUGGUUUAGCACGCGAGCCUUUGGAGCUCGAGGUCGCGGUUCAAUCCCGUGCUCCCCAG
rnacentral:tRNA from 1 species